rnacentral:rRNA from 1 species
UGAGGAAUUUUCGGCAAUGGGGGCAACCCUGACCGAGCAACGCCGCGUGCAGGAAGACGGCCUUCGGGUUGUAAACUGCUUUUCUGUGGGACGAGCAAGGACGGUACCACAGGAAGAAGCCCCGGCUAACUACGUGCCAGCAGCCGCGGUAAUACGUAGGGGGCGAGCGUUGUCCGGAGUUACUGGGCGUAAAGCGCAUGCAGGCGGUCGGGUAAGUUUGCACUGACAGUCAUCGGCUUAACUGAUGAAGGCGUGCGAAAACUGUCCGACUUGAGGGCUCUAGAGGGGUGCGGAAUUCCGAGUGGAGCGGUGAAAUGCGUAGAGAUUCGGAGGAACACCAAAGGCGAAGGCAGCGCCCUGGAGAGUACCUGACGCUCAGAUGCGAAAGCUAGGGGAGCGAA